rnacentral:rRNA from 1 species
CAAAUGACUCUCGGCAACGGAUAUCUCGGCUCAUGCAUCGAUGAAGAACGUAGCAAAAUGCGAUACUUGGUGUGAAUUGCAGAAUCCCGUGAACCAUCGAGUUUUUGAACGCAAGUUGCGCCCAAAGCCUUUCGGCCGAGGGCACGUCUGCCUGGGCGUCACAC